rnacentral:rRNA from 1 species
AUGACGCGCCAAAGCCGGGAACGGCGCGCGGUCGCCUGCGAGGGAGGCCAGGCGGCAGCGCGCGCCGCCGCCUCGCCCCCGCACUACGACGCGGACGAGGAGCGCCGCUUCGAGGAGGUGGUCUACCUCCACUCCCUCUGCCGCAGCGGCCCGUCCGCCCCCGCCGGGGAUCCCGCGCCACCCGCCGGAGUCUCCCGCGCCACCCGCGCCCGCGCCGACCAGCGGAAGCGACGCAGGAUCGAGCGCGCCGCCGAGGCCGAAUACGGCGGCCCCGACUGGUCCCUCGCGCCCGCCCCCACGGCCCCCUCCUCCUGGCCCAACUCCACUCCCGUCUCCCCCGCGCCCAGGCCGCAGCAGCAGCCUUCCACCGCCUCUCUCGCGCAGCGGGACGCCCUCCGCGCCGCCGAGGAGUUCUUCUCCAGGCGCGGCGCCUCGGGCGAGGACUGCAACGAGGUUGAGGGGCCCGAGUCGGAAGACAGCUGGGACGAGGUGGCGGGGUUCUUCCUCGGGCUCUUCGAGCGGGACGCCGCGCUGCGGGGCUACUACGAGCGGAGCCACAGGGAGGGGGAGUUCGUGUGCAUGGCGUGCGUGGGGAGGAAUGUGAAGAAGGGCCGGGCCAGGCGGUUCCGGGACUGCAUCAGCCUCGUGCGGCACGCACACGCCGCCACACGCGUCGGGAGGCCGCAGGCGCACCGCGCGCUCGCCGCCGCAGUCUGCCGCGUCCUCGGCUGGGACGUCAAGCGGCUGCCAGGCAUCGUCAUCGACCCCCGCCGCAGGCUGGGCCAGGCGCUCCUUGCCAGGGAGGGCGCAAGCGCCGCUGCGGCCGCCGCCACUCACGAGGCAAAGGACAAUGCUGAUGCUGGGCAGAAUGGUCACAAGGAUGCAGCGAAGGAGGAUGUUGGUUUGGAGAAGAUGGGCUCCUUGAAUGAUGACAGGAAGGAGGAUGUUGAUAAAGGGAAGAUCUGCCCUCCAAGUAAUAACAAUGAUGGAGAGGUUCAUGAGCAAGGGAAUAGUAGAGGAAUUGCUGAAAAGGAAGGUGAUAUUGGCAAUAAACAGGAGCAUGGUAAGAGUGCAGAUGAUAUGGGGGGCACUUGUAAUGUCAGACUAGAAAACAAUUCAUCAAAGAUGGAAGAAGCUGCUACAGAGAAUAAGGAGGAGCAUACUGAAGGUGUUGUUGACUUCGGAGAUGAUAUUGGUAACUUGGGAAGGAAUUUAAUGGACUCAUCAAAGAGUUGA